GUCAAAUUGGAUAUUUUGAAUUUCACAUGCCAAGCUCUGUGACUCUCUGUAUUGACUCUGUUUCUCUUUAUAUAAUAUAUAUCCUCUUUCUCUUCCAAAAACUUUUCAAUACGAGAGCUUUGAAGAACAAAAGAACACACUCAACGGAUCGUAUUCAUUAAUGGGGAAAAGGAGCUGUUUUUUCUCACUAUAUUUUGUGGGUAUUUCUCUAUCUUUAUGGGUGAUUCAAGUGGCAUUUGCAGGGAGAGAAGGGCCUCUAUUGCAGAGGUAUGAGAAAGGGAGUUUUGGGUAUAGUGAAUCGUUUAAUAGCAUUUUUGAUACUUCCAAGUACGGGAUUUUUCAGCUCAACAACGGC
rnacentral:misc_RNA from 1 species